UACGUAGGGUGCAAGCGUUAAUCGGAAUUACUGGGCGUAAAGCGUGCGCAGGCGGUUGUGCAAGACCGAUGUGAAAUCCCCGGGCUCAACUGGGGAGGGUCACUCGAUACUGAUCGACUUGAAGGCAGGAGGGGGAAGCGGAAUUCCCGGUGUAGUGGUGAAAUGCGUAGAUAUCGGGAGGAACACCAGUGGCGAAGGCGGCUUCCUGGCCUGUUCUUGACGCUGAGGCGCGAAAGCGUGGGGAGCAAACAGG
rnacentral:rRNA from 1 species